rnacentral:rRNA from 1 species
AACGAACGCUGGCGGCAGGCUUAACACAUGCAAGUCGAACGCCCCGCAAGGGGAGUGGCAGACGGGUGAGUAACGCGUGGGAACAUACCCUUUUCUACGGAAUAGCUCUGGGAAACUGGAAUUAAUCCCGAAUACGCCCUAUGGGGGAAAGAUUUAUCGGGGAAGGAUUGGCCCGCGUUGGAUUAGCUAGUUGGUGGGGUAAAGGCGUACAAAGGCGACGAUCCAUAGCUGGUCUGAGAGGAUGAUCAGCCACAUUGGGACUGAGACACGGCCCAAAAGCCUACGGGAGGCAGCAGGGGGGAAUAUUGGACAAUGGGCGCAAGCCUGAUCCAGCCAUGCCGCGUGAGUGAUGAAGGCCUUAGGGUUGUAAAGCUCUUUCACCGAUGAAGAUAAUGACGGUAGUCGGAGAAGAAGCCCCGGCUAACUUCGUGCCAGCCGCCGCAGUAA